UUUAAUUCUUAGCCCUCUUCAUAGCCUGUGUGUCGUCGCAGUAAGUAUUGGAAUUUUGACUAUAGCUUUUUCAUAACCGAGCCAGUUAAUGUUGUGUUGUUUUGUUUUGUUUUGUUUGACAAGUCAUCAGGUCGAAGUCCUUCUAAUAAAAGGAAUAGAUUCUCCUCUGAAACUACAUGAGAUUGGUUUCAGAAGAUACAUAAUGUCUGAAGGGGCAAGAUGUGUUUCUCCGAGGUAACUCAGGAGAAAACAGUGACAACCAUCUAUGGUAUAGAAAAAAACAAACUAGAACUUAAGAAGCCAUCUCUUUUCCUUGCUUCCUUCCAUCUCAUGUCCACCUCAGGACACUAUCGCUGGGAGAGAAAAAGUGAUGGAAAAACAUGUAGUUGAAGUCUGAGGGGCCCUGAACUUUCAAAAUAUACACACACACAUACAAAGGACAUGGAGCUGGAGCCCUUUCUUAGAGACUACAAAAUUUAUAAUGGAAGCUGUAAAGAACACGGGCAAGAAUAUCCAAGAAAUGAGAAGGGUAGGACUCAGACAAUUGGAUAUUUAGACAUAUCAUUAAGUUAUUGUUACAUCAGUAUGGAAUAGUAAAUGCAAGAAUAUAUAGAUUAAUGGACAGAAUAACCAGCACAGAAACAUUUUAAUUCAGAAGACACUAGGAUAAGGUGAUAGUUUGAUUUCACAUUACUAGGGAAAGGUAGAAAUAGUCUUUAAAUAGUCCCAAGGCAAUUGCUUAACUAUGGGUAUGGGAACAGUGGACUCCCGUUCUUACUCUAUAGACCAAAAGACCUUAGAAAUGAGUAACAGGUUUAAAGACAUAAGAAGUAGAAAAUAAAAGCGAAUAUCUCAAGAUGAGAAAAGACCCAUUAAGGAUAAAGCAAAAGGUAAAAUCAGAAUUCCUACAUCCCAUUACAUAAAAAUUUAAAACCAAUAUAGCAAAAGUCAUAAAUAGAAAAAGUACAAGCUGGAAAAUUUUUGGAAUAUGAGUAUUUGACAAAAAAGGGACAUCCUGAGAAUAUACAGAGCUCCUAAAGUUUAGAAAAGCCAAGAUAUUUUCCAAAUUUCAGUUGGUUCCUUAAUUAAUUCUAUACAGAAGGUCACUUCAUUCAGCUACCUUGACGUACAUUACUCAAAUAAUUUAGCUUGGAAGAACAUCAGGAAAUCACAGUACUCAAAGCUAGGCUUUUUGGAUGGAGGUUUUUUGGGAGGUGGGGGUUGGGGGUUAAUGGUCACUAUGUUUAGUUAUGCCUUCUUUACACAUUUUCCAGACUACUAUUCAUUAAGACUAGGUUAUAUUGAGCAGAAAUUUGGAACCUAACGGCCCAUCUGUCUGUGAGAGUACACAUCCAAUGUUGUUGUUGUUUUCCUAAAGAGAAUCUUGGCUAGACUCUAUAGAAUUCCCUCAGAAACUGCUGAUCAUUAGACUUAAAUUUCCCCAAAAGAUGUCGCUCCUACACUAACUAGUUCAAUGUCCUAUUUUUUUCAAUGUCCACUUUUUUCCUAGAUUCCUGGAACAGCUGAACUUCAGGUGUAGGAUAUGCAGCAUUGAACUCCCAGCUACCUACUAUCUGUCAGCUGUGGGUUUGAAGCACAGGAUUUAUAAAGGAACAUUAAGAAUUUGUUCUUUACCACUUCCUCGGAUCCUUUAAAAUGUACCCCCGAGUUAAGUGAGGCAAGCACCUAGCAAAGACCACCUGUACAGUGUUUUCCCUAGGUACCCCUAGAAUCUCUCUUCGUGAAGUCAUUGGUCAGCGUUGCAGGACACGCUACAAAACAGUUAUAUGAAAUUCAUCAUUGUGUCAACUCUAAGAAUGUUGUUGAUUAUGUUACACAAUGGCCUCUUUAUGUGGACUCUCAAGAGUUAUUUCGUUCUGGCCUUAGACUGGACUAUUGAUGCUUCUCCUGAGCAGUUCAUCUGCUGCUAUCUUAUGGACACUAGUAACUACUCUGAGGACCAAAAGCCAGACCACAGACUCAAGUUGUUGGUACACAUUUGUUCGAGGCACAGGGCAGUGACCGCUUCUGUGGACACUUGCUUCUUACCACCCAACAUCAUGAUCCCACCCAGAGCAUCCGGCCCCAGCCAGUGGCUUUAUAAAUUAUAAAUUGAAUCAGAGACUCUUUCCCCACUAGAAUGUGGUUUCAACUGCCCGCCCCCCCUUUUCUUUAUAUCCCAGAGGAUGUUGGAGAAUUCAAGAAAAUUACUCUAUUUCUUGUGGCAUUAGUCUUCCUGGCCCUUCAGAAAAAUUUGAGACACCCUAACAUAUGCUGAUGCUCAGAAGGAGAUUAAAGGUAACCCCACCCUACAUACAGAGCUUGGGGGAAAAUAUCAGUGUUACCCUCAGGGGAGCUCUAACCCGUGGAUGCUCCUUCUGUGAUCUCUGAUGAAGUGAGUGGUCACCCUUAGCAGAAAAGAGAGUGGCAAGAAGGAGCAUGGAAGUCAGAGAUGUUAGGGAGACCACUCAAGAUAGGAGGUUAUCCUGAAACUAAUGUAACUUUGUGUAUUGAUUAUACGCAAACAAAUAAGUAAAUAAUAGGAAAGUGCGAAACAGCAUAUAUGGUAUGCUACAUUUGGAAGCAAGAAACCAAAAUAAAACCAACAUAUCUAUGUUGUGGGGAAGAAAAGGAAAUUAUACUACUUCCCCUCUUCCCCCUCUUUUCCACAUUUCCAAAAAGGAUUUCCACAUCUCCUAUGCAAAAGUCAGAAUAGGCCUCUCUGAGGAGAUAUUUAAGCUCUGAGAAACUCUGUCAUAACACAGCUAAGGAAUUCUUUGUGGGAAAGCAAUUUUUUUUUGUUGGGCCAAUAGGAGAAUCAUAAUUUGUUUUUUUCUGCUUUCAAUUUUGUUCUUAAUAAAAUGUCUAUUUUAUCCAUAUGUGAA